rnacentral:rRNA from 1 species
GAUGAACGCUGGCGGCGUGCCUAGUACAUGCAAGUCGAGCGAACGGACGAGAAGCUUGCUUCUCUGAUGUUAGCGGCGGACGGGUGAGUAACACGUGGAUAACCUACCUAUAAGACUGGGAUAACUUCGGGAAACCGGAGCUAAUACCGGAUAAUAUUUUGAACCGCAUGGUUCAAAAGUGAAAGACGGUCUUGCUGUCACUUAUAGAUGGAUCCGCGCUGCAUUAGCUAGUUGGUAAGGUAACGGCUUACCAAGGCAACGAUGCAUAGCCGACCUGAGAGGGUGAUCGGCCACACUGGAACUGAGACACGGUCCAGACUCCUACGGGAGGCAGCAGUAGGGAAUCUUCCGCAAUGGGCGAAAGCCUUACGGAGCAACGCCGCGUGAGUGAUGAAGGUCUUCGGAUCGUAAAACUCUGUUAUUAGGGAAGAACAUAUGUGUAAGUAACUGUGCACAUCUUGACGGUACCUAAUCAGAAAGCCACGGCUAACUACGUG